rnacentral:rRNA from 1 species
CCCUUAGCUUUUCUUGGCCGCACGCGCGCUACACUGAUGCAUUCAACGAGUUUCUUCCUGGUCCGAGAGGAAUGGGUAACCUUUUGAAAGUGCAUCGUGAUAGGGAUAGACUAUUGCAAUUAUUGGUCUUCAACGAGGAAUUCCUAGUAGACGUAGUUCAUCAGACUGCAUCGAUUACGUCCCUGCCCUUUGUACACACCGCCCGUCGCUCCUACCGAUUGAAUGCUCAGGUGAGCCAUUCGGACUUUCAUCAUGCUGGUUUCCAGUUUUGAUGAAGGAAAGUCUUGCGAACCUUAUCAUUUAGAGGAAGGAGAAGUCGUAACA